rnacentral:pre_miRNA from 1 species
AUAGGGUCUAGACCUGGCAUAUCUUCAUAGGACCAUGCAAAAAUAUCCGGAUAUUCCCGGAGGAGUUGGAUAAUCUUCCGCUUAACCCCUUCCUCUAGAGUAGCACCAAUCUUGAUUUCUUGCUUGUUUUCCUCGGUACCUAUGUUAAUAAGCUCAAUCUCUUCCUGG